GGGAAUAUUGGACAAUGGGCGAAAGCCUGAUCCAGCGACGCCGCGUGAGUGAAGAAGGCCUUCGGGUUGUAAAGCUCUUUCGGUAGGGAAGAUAAUGACGGUACCUACAAAAGAAGUUCCGGCUAACUUCGCGCCAGCAGCCGCGGUAAUACGAAGGGAGCUAGCGUUACUCGGAAUUAUUGGGCGUAAAGCGUACGUAGGCGGCUUAGUAAGUUGGGAGUGAAAUCCUUGGGCUUAACCCAAGAAUUGCUUUCAAAACUACUAAGCUAGAGUAUCAGAGGGGAUGGCGGAAUUCCUAGUGUAGAGGUGAAAUUCGUAGAUAUUAGGAGGACCACCGGUGGCGAAAGCGGCCAUCUGGCUGAUUACUGACGCUGUUGUACGAAAGCGUGGGGAGCAAAC
rnacentral:rRNA from 1 species